GGAUUUUGUUUUGAAACUUUGCUUUCGUAUGAACACUCAGCAGAAAAGUACUUACUUCUUGCCAGUUAUCUAUUAACAAAAAAAAAAAAAAAAAAAAAAAAACUUUGAUUUGUAGUUUUAAAGAUUAACCCUCCCAAGUUCUCUUCAUAACUGCCUUGACAUUUUGGGUUGUUCUGUUCUGUUAAUUUUCUUUUGCUUUUUUGUGUUUUUUGUUUGUUUUUACUUUUGCAUUUAAGACCAUUAAAUUUGAUUUUGUUUUGCUCGAAUUUUGUUUUGUUUUUUAUUUUACCUUUUCUUUCUUUUUGGCUAGGUAAGGUCCAGACGGCCAGCAUUCAGGGAGGAUUUAUAAAAAAAUCUUAAGAAAAAAAAAGACUUGCCUCAAGACAAAGCAUUUACAGGCCUGUGACGUAGGAGUAUGCAGUCACAGAUGGCGUUUUUGAAAACGGGGGAGCCAGUAGGGAGAGUCUGAAAGAGAGAACCUGAGAAGUGGCAGGGCCAGACCUCCGGGCAACUCCUCAGGAGUGUGAUUCUGACUGUUAUAAAUAUCUAGCGUUUAGAGAGAUUCAAAAACAGGACAACUUAGUACCAGCAGUUUUUAGCCUUGAUAUAAGACUAAAACACGUAACCAUAGGCAGUUUUAGUUGAUCGAUAUCAUGGAAUCGUGGUAUUAUUUAUCUAUUUAUCUACGUACCUACCUAUUUAUUUAUUUAUUUAAGUGGAAAAAAAUCGGGCACAGCCUUCUCCCGAGCAGGUCAGUGUUCUGAGAAGCCCCCAGACAAUUUGAGGCUGCCUGUCCCAGCCCCGUUCCCCUCAGACUUCGUUGAGGGGCUGCCAACUGCUCGCAUUCUCCCCACCUUGAGAUGUUGUCAUGCCGUUCUCCCACCGAAGGGGCCAAGUUCAUACCUUGAGGCCUUCUCAUGAGUUGGCCUCGCGCCAUGGAGGACCUCCCUCCAGCGGAAGUUUCCAGAUCCUAAGUCAGAGCCAGCUUACGUGCCUCCUCCUGGAACCCAGAGCCACGGCCCAUUUGCCUGGAUUCGACACAGGAGAGGGUCCCCCCCGCCUCCCUGCUCUUCACCACAGACCAGGAUGUUUUCCUGGAAGACUAUGCCUUUCAGGUUAUGCUAGCCUUGGGCCAGCCGCGUCUUCUCAGUGAAGAUGAGAUUCCAGUUCUGAACGCGACCCUUAGGUCUCUUCCCUGACACAUUCCUGCCCGCCCUCGCUAGGGUUCGAUUUCGUACUUGAAUUCUGUCGGAAGCCUAAACCGUGAAGGGACGGAGGGCUGCACGCCAGCACCCCCUGCCCCUCCCCACCCCUCCCCUCCCUGUUACCCGACCUGUAUUGAUUACUCUGAUGCUGGCACAGAGGAGAAGGAGAUGAACCUUUGAAAGCUGCCUGAGGUUUCUCAGUUGAGUAAAAUUCUCAUUUUACGCGGGCUCCACUCUUUGAACAGCCUUCUAGCUAAAACCCCAAGUGCGUUUCCUUGGGAGUGUGAAAUCGCAAGCGUGUGGAAGGCUGUCACUUUUGACGUGUUCCUUAACCCUGAAAAGCAACUGUCGCUCCCAGUGAUGUACCAGGUGCUGGCCCUGUGUCCUAAAAAGUUCAUUAAACCUUCUCCAGGCUUGUUUGCAAAAAAGGAAGACCCCAUUUUAUAAAAGUCACGAUCCAAAAGAAACUUUUUUAAACGUUUUUUACAUAGAUCAAUCAUAUUUGUAUUUCGCAAAAUGAGUGCUCUCCUUUUAUUUGGGAAUUUUGGUGAAAAAAAAAAAAGGAAUGAAAAGAGUAGAUGAUGUUCAUUUAUCGAAAGUUUGGUUUGGUACAUAAAUACCAAAGAGGCUUUGACUGAAUUUCCUUUCGGCCUGCGUAACUCCCCCCCGAUAGUUGUUUGCUAAGAAGCUCCAAAUUUGUGAACCUGGUUCCAGUUGAAUUACUCACUUUUUACGCCUUGGCUCUGCCCUCUUGAGUUUUUCGUUGUAAUAUGCCAAGCUGUGGUUUUCUGGCUGUGCCUCUAGUCGCACGUCUUGUGACUGGGAUCACCCCCACCCCCCACCACCAUCUUGCCAGAAUAGCUGCAAGACGGGCUUUCUUGGCCUGUGGGCAGAUGGUGCUGGGUGGACCCCGCCGCCUUUGUUCCCUGAAGGUGAGUCCUUCCCUUGCCAAGGGCAGCUGCCUUAACCUGUGAGAGUCUGCGCUUGGUUAGUGCUGGAAAGCCAGCGUCCAGGGUCUGACCCGUGCUGCUGUAGGGAGCUGGUGCUUUGGGAGCUGGCGGCCGGGAAGCGGGGGACAGUCCCUGCCGGAUCAGACCAAGUAGAUGAAUCCGAAGACGGUUACUGGCAAUAACUCAGUCCUGGUUUGCCUCCAAAACUAGGGCCAUUGACUGAUCCCGGGCCGGCUGCCGACCUUGAAAAAUCAAAGUUCAGACGUCGCCCAGCUGUUCCAUUUCACAUCUGAUUCAGCCUGAUUUCAUUUCUCUGUGCUUUUUGCAGCCUUCCUGGGUUGGAUAAGAGAGUAAGAAUAAGCUGCCAAAGGUCUCUUUUCCCCAGCCACCCCCUCUGCCCGAGCGAGCCCUCCACCUGAAAGCCCUCCCACCUUCCCAGGACCUGUGGCACCUCUGGGACCUGAGGCAGCUCCUCAGGAAGCACCUCCUGCUGUCCAUCAGAUUCCCAGGCCCGGCCCCCAACUCCAGUCCCAAGUGCUUUCUGUUGAGUGGCAUUGAUGAUUGACCCUUGCUUACGAUAGCAGUAGAACCUGAAUCCCAGACCUCCGGCAGGGUUCACCUUUCCAGACCUUUUGAUUUGCCUCUGACUUUUAAUGAUUGUAUCGUAUAUUUUCCCACAGCCUUUUGGUGACCUAGUUUUCAGUUUUCCGCUUGGUCAUUAAAAAAAAAAAAUUAUUUGUACGUCACCGCAGGGACCUAAGUUAGGCAAACCGACGGCUCGAGCAGCGGCUUUGAGGACUCUAUUGCAUUCCACCAGGAGAAAAGGCUUGUCCGUUGGUUGGGGCCACCUCUUUACCAUGUACUGUUCCGUUUCCAGUGACUUGCUCUGGGGGGCGGGGCGCUUGACCAGCUGGUUCCCGUGUUGUACAGUAGAUGGGUAGACGUUUUGUAUAUUAGUGUGUUUUAAGUUAUUGAUUUGUUUUAUAUAAAAUAAUUUAUUUUUCAGGUACCAUUUUUCAUUUUAACUUUGUUUUUACAUGGGUUUGUUUUCAAUAAAGUAUGACACUGCUGUCCAAAAGUCAACAAUAAAAUGAAUCCCAUUGUGUUCUUUUGAGGAUGCUUAUGUAACUAGCUCUUUUUUUUUUUAUUAUUUUCAGGGAAGAAAAAAAAAAAAAAAGCCCUUCUCAGUUUUCCAUCUCCCCAUUUGCCUUUUUAUCCUUGUGAAUAAAUGUUCUUUAGUGUUUUAGGAGGAAAAAGCAAACCUAGAUUUUGAUAAUCCAGAAGAUUUCAGAUUAAUAAAGAAGCUUUGAAAGAAGACCAUUUUUCAAAAUUUUAGUGAAGUGUGAAUAUUUUUUGUCAAUGGCUUUCUCAAAGAGAAUGAAACUUUUGCACCAUUUUCAGAGUUUUUAUAGAGAUGCCAAAUUGAUAUAUUUACAUGUAAUGGAAACAUGAAAAAGUUUUAUUAAACAAUUGUUCAUA
rnacentral:lncRNA from 1 species